GUCCCUUGGCUUAUAAACAAGAAAAGUCCCUAAAAUCAACGAAAAGUCCCUUGGACUAUAAACAAGAAAAGUCCCGUAAGAUCAACGAAAGUCCCUCAGUCCUUUGGACUAUUAGCAAAAAAAGUCUCCUAAAAUCAACGAAAGUACCUCAGUCCCUUAGACUAUAAACAAGAAAAGUCCCUUAAGAUAAACAAAGUCCCUUAGUCCCUUGAAUUAAAAACAAGAAAAGUCCAAUAAGAUCAACGAAAAGUCCCUUGGACUAUAAAGAAGAAAAGUCCCGUAAGAUUAACGAAAGUCCCUCAGUCCCUUACUAUAAAUAGAAAAGGUCCCAUAAGAUCAACGAAAAUUCCCUUGGACUAUAAACAAGAAAAAUCCCUUUAAUAUCAACCAUAAUUAAAAAUACCGAUAUAUUUCGCGAUAUUUCGGCGGGAUACGCCGAUUUUUGGAGAAUCGACGUUUUAUAAUCCGGGAAUAAUCGAAUAUAUUCCCGAUAUAUUGAGAUGAAUUUUUUGUUUCGAGUGUCGGAAUGUAGGACUAUGCCAUUUUUUUGAAAUUCGAAAUUUCGCCCGGAUUUGGAAUUUUGAACCUUGAUAUCAACUAAAGUCCCUCCGUCCCUUGGACUAUAAACAAGAUUUGAAUGUAGGAAGAGAAAAGUCCAUUGGCUUACAAACAAGUAAAGUCCGCUGAGAUCAACGAAAGUCCCUCAGUCCCUUGGAUUAUAAACAAAAAUGUCACUUAAGAUCNNNNNNNNNNNNNNNNNNNNNNNNNNNNNNNNNNNNNNNNNNNNNNNNNNNNNNNNNNNNNNNNNNNNNNNNNNNNNNNNNNNNNNNNNNNNNNNNNNNNUCAGCGAAAAUUCCCUUGGACUAUUAACAAGAAAAGUCAUUUAAUAUCAUCACAAGUCCCUCCGUCCCUUGGACUAUAAACAAAAUGUGAUGUAGGAAGAGAAACGUCAUUGGACUAUAAACAAGUAAAGUCUGUUGAGAUCAACGAAAGUCAGAAAGUCCCUUAAGACUAUAAACAAGAAAAAUCCCUUAAGAACAACGAAAGUCCCUUAGUCCCUUAAGAGUAUAAACAAAUAAAGUCCCUUAAGAUCAACGGAAGUCCCGCAGACUCUUAAGACUAUAAACAAAUAAAAUCCCUUAAGAUCAGCGAAAGUCCCUCAGUCUCUUGUACUAUAAACAAGAAAAGUCCCUUAAGAUCAACGAAAAGUCCCUUUGACUAUAAACAAGAAUAGUCCCUUCAGAUCAGCGAAAGUCCCUCAGUCCCUCAGUCCCUUGGACUAUAAACAAGUGGAAUAUGGGAAGGGAAAAGUCCAUUGCACUAUAAACAAGUGAAGUCCUUUGAGAUAAAUGAAAGUCCCUCAAUCUCUUGGACUAUAAACAAGAAAAGUUCCUUAAGAUCAAUGAAAAGUCCCUUGGACUAUAAACAAGAAAAGUCCCUUCAGAUCAGCGAAAGUCCCUCAGUCCCUUGGACUAUAAACAAGAUGGAAUGUGGGAAGAGAAAAGUCCAUUGCACUAUAAACAAGUGAAGUUCUUUGAGAUCAAUGAAAGUCCCACAGUCCCUUGGACUAUAAACAAGAAAAGUCCCUUAAGAUCAACGAAAAGUCCCUUGGACUAUAAAGAAGAAAAGUCCCUUCAGAUCAGCGAAAGUCCCUCCAGUCCCUCGGACUAUAAACAAGAUGGAAUGUGGGAAGAGAAAAGUCCUUUGCACUAUAAACAAGUGAAGUCCUUUGCGAUCAACGAAAGUGCCUCAACCCCUUGGCCUAUAAACAAGAAAAGUCCCUUAAGAUCAACGAAAAUUCCCUUGGACUAAAAACAAGAAAAGUCCCUUGGACUAUAAACAAAAAAGUCGCUCCAGAUCAGUGAAAGUCCCCUCAAUUCCUUGGACUAUUCUGAGUUGGAAUGUGGGAAGAGAAAAGUCCAUUGCACUAUAAACAAGUGAAGUCCUUUGAGAUCAACGAAAGUCCCUCAGUCCCUUGGCUUAUAAACAAGAAAAGUCCCUAAAAUCAACGAAAAGUCCCUUGGACUAUAAACAAGAAAAGUCCCGUAAGAUCAACGAAAGUCCCUCAGUCCUUUGGACUAUUAGCAAAAAAAGUCUCCUAAAAUCAACGAAAGUACCUCAGUCCCUUAGACUAUAAACAAGAAAAGUCCCUUAAGAUAAACAAAGUCCCUUAGUCCCUUGAAUUAAAAACAAGAAAAGUCCAAUAAGAUCAACGAAAAGUCCCUUGGACUAUAAAGAAGAAAAGUCCCGUAAGAUUAACGAAAGUCCCUCAGUCCCUUACUAUAAAUAGAAAAAG
rnacentral:lncRNA from 1 species